rnacentral:rRNA from 1 species
UUGACCUCAAAUCAGGUAGGACUACCCGCUGAAUUAA